UGCAAUCCCAUUCUGCUGAGGUGU
rnacentral:siRNA from 1 species